UACGUAGGGGGCAAGCGUUGUCCGGAAUCAUUGGGCGUAAAGAGCGUGUAGGCGGCCAGAUAAGUCCGCUGUGAAAUCUCGAGGCUCAACUUCGAGCUGUCGGUGGAAACUGUCUGGCUAGAGUCCGGAAGAGGAGAAUGGAAUUCCUGGUGUAGCGGUGAAAUGCGCAGAUAUCAGGAGGAAUACCGAUGGCGAAGGCAGGUCUCUGGGCUGACACUGACGCUCAUGCACGAAAGCGUGGGGAGCAAACAGG
rnacentral:rRNA from 1 species